GCUCUACAUCUCUAACUAGACGUUUUCUUUCUUUUCUUUCAGGACGACGUCGAAACCAAGAAGCAGAAAACCGACGACGAUGAUUGAUGUGUUUCCCCCCCGCCCCCACCACCCAGAUCCAACCCCCCCCACCCCCCAUCCUGCUGAACCACUUCCCGAUUCUUCACCUCGGACUUGUUUUUUCAAAGAGUCCCAGGUGGGGGGGCGGGAGGACGGAUUUAAAAGGAGAAGAAAAUAAUAAUAAUAAAAAAAAAAAUACAACAUGGUCAUUAGCAAGUAGAGUUCAACACACAAAUACACACACACACACACACACACUUCGAUCUCCCCUCAAAACAAAAUUUUCUAGAGCGACCCGCCAACGCGUUGACGCAGAAAUCCGGCUUCUCUUCAACAACAACAACCCGAAGAAAAAAAAAAGGAGAAUUAGUUUGUAUUUUUAUUUACAUUUUAUAUUUUUGUACAUAUUGUUCGGAGGGGGGGUCGGUUUCUCUCUCUCGGCAGACCAAAAUCGGUGCUUCUUUAACGAAAUAUUUUACUCGGUUGACCACGUUAACGAUAUCUCGACAAAAAACAUGAAAACAU